rnacentral:rRNA from 1 species
UACGUAGGGGGCAAGCGUUGUCCGGAAUCAUUGGGCGUAAAGCGCGUGUAGGCGGCUUGGUAAGUCUGCUCUGAAAGCCCGGGGCUCAACCCCGGGAGGCGGGUGGAUACUGUCAAGCUCGAGUCCGGAAGAGGAGUGUGGAAUUCCUGGUGUAGCGGUGAAAUGCGUAGAUAUCAAGUGGAACACCAGUGGCGAAGGCGAGUCUCUGGACAUUUCCUGACGCUGAGGCACGAAAGCCAGGGGAGCAAACGGG